UCCGGUUUGUCACCGGCAGUCUCCCUAGAGUUCCCGACCGACAUCUCUGCCGGAUUUCCGUGCAUGUCAAGCCCAGGUAAGGUUCUUCGCGUUGCAUCGAAUUAAUCCGCAUGCUCCGCCGCUUGUGCGGGCCCCCGUCAAUUCCUUUGAGCUUUAGCCUUGCGGCCGUACUCCCCAGGCGGGGCGCUUAAUGCGUUAGCUACGGCACAGAAUCCGUGGAAGGGAUCCCACACCUAGCGCCCACCGUUUACGGCGUGGACUAC
rnacentral:misc_RNA from 1 species